rnacentral:miRNA from 14 species
GGCAUCGCCCUGCAGGGGCCCCGAGCGUACUUGUGCAGGGCAUGUCGAGGGGGUCCAGGUCUGC